AGUGAACGCUGGCGGUAGGCCUAACACAUGCAAGUCGAACGGCAGCACAGUAAGAGCUUGCUCUUACGGGUGGCGAGUGGCGGACGGGUGAGGAAUACAUCGGAAUCUACUUUUUCGUGGGGGAUAACGUAGGGAAACUUACGCUAAUACCGCAUACGACCUACGGGUGAAAGCAGGGGAUCUUCGGACCUUGCGCGAUUGAAUGAGCCGAUGUCGGAUUAACUAGUUGGCGGGGUAAAGGCCCACCAAGGCGACGAUCCGUAGCUGGUCUGAGAGGAUGAUCAGCCACACUGGAACUGAGACACGGUCCAGACUCCUACGGGAGGCAGCAGUGGGGAAUAUUGGACAAUGGGCGCAAGCCUGAUCCAGCCAUACCGCGUGGGUGAAGAAGGCCUUCGGGUUGUAAAGCCCUUUUGUUGGGAAAGAAAAGCAGCAGGUUAAUACCCCGCUGUUCUGACGGUACCCAAAGAAUAAGCACCGGCUAACUUCGCG
rnacentral:rRNA from 1 species